GGUCCUUGGUUUCCAAAUGAGAUACAAAAGCUGGUCUCAUCAGAAAAGAGAUUUGGGGAGCCAUCGCAGAAGAGCUGAAGGCUGCUAUUGAAGCUUCCUGGUCUUCCAUAACACCUCAGCAGUGCCACAGGCUGAUAGCAUCCAUGCCACGCCGCAUUGAGGCA